rnacentral:rRNA from 1 species
GACGAACGCUGGCGGCGUGCCUAAUACAUGCAAGUAGAACGCUGAAGAGAGGAGCUUGCUCUUCGUGGAUGUGUCGCGCACGGGUGUGUAACGCGUAUGUAACCUGCCUUGCAUCGGGGGAACACCAGUGGACACGAUAGCUAAUACCGCAUAAGCAUGGAUUACACAUUGGAUUUAGUAGAGUGGGGCAAUUGCGCCACUACAACGUGGAUCUGCGUUGUAUUAGUUAGUAGGUGAGGUACAAGCUCACCUAGGCGAGGACGUGGCGCCGAACUGAGAGGGUGAUCAGCCACCCUGGGACUGAGACACGGCACAGACUCCUACGGGAGGCAGCCGUAGGGAUUCGUGGGCAAGGGGGGCAACCCUGACCGAGCAACGCCGCGUGAGUAAGGAGGGACUUCGGGUCGUAAAGCUCUGUUGUAAGUCAAGAACGGGUGUGAGAGUGGAACGUUCACUGUGUGACGGUAGCUUAUCAGAAAGGGACGGCUAACUACGUG